rnacentral:rRNA from 1 species
AUUGAACGCUGGCGGCAUGCCUUACACAUGCAAGUCGAACGGCAGCACGGGAGCAAUCCUGGUGGCGAGUGGCGAACGGGUGAGUAAUAUAUCGGAACGUGCCCAGUCGUGGGGGAUAACGCAGCGAAAGCUGUGCUAAUACCGCAUACGAUCUACGGAUGAAAGCGGGGGAUCGCAAGACCUCGCGCGAUUGGAGCGGCCGGUAUCAGAGUAGCUAGUUGGUGAGGUAAAGGCUCACCAAGGCGACGAUCUGUAGCUGGUCUGAGAGGACGACCAGCCACACUGGAACUGAGACACGGUCCAGACUCCUACGGGAGGCAGCAGUGGGGAAUUUUGGACAAUGGGCGAAAGCCUGAUCCAGCAAUGCCGCGUGCAGGAUGAAGGCCUUCGGGUUGUAAACUGCUUUUGUACGGAACGAAACGGUGAGCUCUAAUACAGUUUGCUAAUGACGGUACCGUAAGAAUAAGCACCGGCUAACUACGUGCCAGCUGCCGCAGUAAAAC